rnacentral:lncRNA from 1 species
ACAUCGUAUGGAAGUUCAAUCAACAAGAGCAAGCUCAUUUUUCACCAAAAUUAGCUGUUAAAAUAGGACAUGCCGAAAAAAAUCUAAACUUACAGAACAAGAAGAAACAACAUACCCUUCAUUAACCAAGUUUAAGGCCACAUUCACCAAUAGAGUCUGUGCAAGACCUAACUUGUCGAGGACAGAUGUUAGGGGAGCAUAAGGAUGCUGCACACCAAGCUCAAAAUUAAGAG